rfam:Sporolactobacillus laevolacticus DSM 442 Contig011, whole genome shotgun sequence.
UUUUCUAAAGGGCAAAACUACUGAAAAGUAGUGACGCAAAGUCACAGAUCUAAGGCGAAUUUUCGCUACGAUGGCUGGACCGCCGUA